rnacentral:rRNA from 1 species
UACAGAGGUCUCAAGCGUUGUUCGGAUUCAUUGGGCGUAAAGGGUGCGUAGGUGGCGCCGUAAGUCAGGUGUGAAAUUUCGGAGCUUAACUCCGAAACUGCAUUUGGUACUGCGGUGCUUGAGGACUGGAGAGGAGACUGGAAUUCACGGUGUAGCAGUGAAAUGCGUAGAUAUCGUGAGGAAGACCAGUGGCGAAGGCGGGUCUCUGGACAGUUCCUGACACUGAGGCACGAAGGCCAGGGGAGCAAACGGG